rnacentral:lncRNA from 1 species
CCCCCUCCCCCGGCUGCCCCAUGGUCUUCUAUCUCUCCCAACUCCGCUGUCGCGCCCCGUCUUCCGUCUCUGCAUGAAUUGCUGUUGUGGCAGCCACUCCCCAUGGCGGCCAUCCGGGCACACCGUGUCCGGGAUGAUGGAGGUGAUGUCCGCCAGUUCCCUGUUUCCGUUGGCAUCUUCUGCGAUGGGACCCGUGGGGGCAGGUCGCGCGCUGCUCAUCUGCGUCGAUGGCGUCGGCGUCGUCCUUCCCCUGCAAAGCAUGGCGGCUCCUUGGCUGGAUCACAGUGAUGAUACAGUUGGCUCGGCGGCGACUAGAGAUCUCGCAGGCUGGCGUUUAUUUGAUGUCUGGGUGUUCCAAUCGUGAAGGAACGGACGUAUAAUGUACGGUAUAAGAAUUUGGACGAGGCUCAUCUGCGUGGAUGGUUGUGGCUUGGCCGCCGGGCACACAAUCCAUUUAUUCACACAUAAGGUUUGCCUUUUUUCUUCUCUUUGCAUUCUUUUCUAUUAAGUUUGCAGAUUGUUUGUGUUGGCCAAUGAAAAAAGAUUUAGGACCCUAGAUUUAUACAGUUUAAGAACUUACAAAGUUUAGCAAGUAUCUGGUUCUGAACUUUCGAAGAGUACUUAUAACAGUAAUUUCUUCAGUCUUUUGUAAUUCCGAUUUAAUAGCGAUUCUGUUGUAGUAGCAUCCUUGUAGUUCACCAUUGGAAUGUGUACCGUUUCUUGAUUCUUGAAUUCUGAGCUGAAUGUGCACAUUUAGCGACCACUGCGUAUGUACGUGCUCUAACGGAAAGUACGUAGCUGACACAGACCGUAGCCAUCUACACCAAGACUCCUCUGCCCUACGGAGUCUUGCAAGCGAUCGUCGUAAGAAAUAUUCCGUGUGAUGCCGGCAUGUGUUGUUGUUGCAUUGUCGCAACCAUCCAUCUACACACCAAAUGUAUGUGAACAAGAUUCAUUGGGGUUCCUCUAUUUUCCCAUAGUUUUCCUCUUCUUUUCAUGCAAGAUCAGUCUCUGAUCCAUCUCACUCGCAUGGACGCAGGUCAAAACCGAGUCGCGGUGUUCACAAUGCUGGGCAUUAUUUAUAUCGAAAGACGAGGAGGAAGAUUUGGAUGACCGUAACCACAAUGGCAAGGGCAGCAACAUGGUCAUCACCUACAAUGCCG